rnacentral:lncRNA from 1 species
AAAUGAACAAUGCAAACCUGCCAUCUAUUUAAGAAAGUAUGUUUGUAGUUAUGGCACACUCUUCCAUUCUUACAUAAUAGGCUUAUUCUUUGAAUUGUGCCUAAAGAUUUAAUACCACAGUUUCAUGUGGACAAUAUCCAAUGCCAGAGAUUCCUUGUUCUUUCUGAACAUACCUAAGAAAAUCAAUGUUUCUGAGAUAAGAUAAGAUUUUCUUACUUGCUUUUCUUCAUUUACUUCAUUACUUCCAGGAGUAAAUUGCAGCUAUUAAUUUAUUUAUGAAAUUCUAACGUUAAUAAGAUCUGCAGAGCUUUAUUAUCUGAGAUUCCUGUUCUUCUUAUAUGUUCACAUGCAUGUACUCAAAAGCCUUCGUUUGAAAAUGUUCAUAAAAGAAGUAUCAAACCCA